CAGCCGCCACGGGAAUACGUAGGUGGCAAGCGUUGUCCGGAAUUAUUGGGCGUAAAGCGCGCGCAGGCGGAUAGGUCAGUCUGUCUUAAAAGUUCGGGGCUUAACCCCGUGAUGGGAUGGAAACUGCCAAUCUAGAGUAUCGGAGAGGAAAGUGGAAUUCCUAGUGUAGCGGUGAAAUGCGUAGAUAUUAGGAAGAACACCAGUGGCGAAGGCGACUUUCUGGACGAAAACUGACGCUGAGGCGCGAAAGCCAGGGGAGCGAACGGGAUUAGAUACCCCUGUAGUCCCUGUCUCUUAUACA
rnacentral:rRNA from 1 species